rnacentral:lncRNA from 1 species
AUGGGCGCGGAGUGGCGGCGCGAGGCGGCUGUGGCGCUGUACCUCAGACUGCUGCGAAUAUAUGAAGAGGAGAAGAAAAGCGUCCCUGAAUGCCCGUAUCUCUUUGAGAAUGACGUAGAGAUCUGUUUCAUUGAUGGUAGUUGCAAAAGUCCCGUUGAAAGAUUUUGGAAUGGAAGCAACACGCUGUAUGUUCUGCAGCAAGCGGGCUGCAGUGAGGGUAGUGACCCAACGGGAGAACCGAGAGCAGACGAUGCCUUUCACACCUCUGAGCUCACACCCGUGGAGGGCACCAGCCCGGCUGCACUGCCUGUCCAGAGAGCAAAAAUGGCACCCCUGGUAGAAGUAUUUCCAACAAAAGUGUAG